GACGAACGCUGGCGGCGUGCUUAACACAUGCAAGUCGAACGGAAAGGCCCUGCUUUUGUGGGGUGCUCGAGUGGCGAACGGGUGAGUAACACGUGAGUAACCUGCCCUUGACUUUGGGAUAACUUCAGGAAACUGGGGCUAAUACCGGAUAGGAGCUCCUGCUGCAUGGUGGGGGUUGGAAAGUUUCGGCGGUUGGGGAUGGACUCGCGGCUUAUCAGCUUGUUGGUGGGGUAGUGGCUUACCAAGGCUUUGACGGGUAGCCGGCCUGAGAGGGUGACCGGCCAAAUUGGGACUGAGAUACGGCCCAUACUCCUACGGGAGGCAGCAGUGGGGAAUAUUGCACAAUGGGCGGAAGCCUGAUGCAGCAACGCCGCGUGCGGGAUGACGGCCGUCGGGUUGUAAACCGCUUUCGCCUGUGACGAAGCGUGAGUGACGGUAAUGGGUAAAGAAGCACCGGCUAACUACGUG
rnacentral:rRNA from 1 species